ACCUCCAUAGUACCUGCAGCGU
rnacentral:miRNA from 1 species